CCGUCUGCCGCGGGGUGCGGCGCAGCCACCGCCAUGUCGCUGCUGCAGUCGGCGCUCGACUUCUUGGCGGGUCCAGGCUCCCUGGGCGGUGCUUCCGGCCGCGACCACAGUGACUUCGUGGGGCAGACGGUGGAACUGGGCGACCUGCGGCUGCGGGUGCGGCGGGUCCUGGCUGAAGGAGGGUUUGCAUUUGUGUAUGAAGCUCAAGAUGUGGGGAGUGGCAGAGAGUAUGCACUAAAGAGGCUACUAUCCAAUGAAGAGGAAAAGAACAGAGCCAUCAUUCAAGAAGUUUGUUUCAUGGUAUCCUUUUCCUGGAACCAGGAGCCAGCACAGUGGCUUUGGCAGGCACAGGCCUGCGUCAAGCUGUGACCGCCAGUGGCCGAGAGGCUACUCUGUGACGUUGUCUUUCAUGUGUUAGAGUCGGCUUUUUGCUUUUACCUGACUUAGCUGUAGGUGACUUCUAGUAAGAAGCAGUUUUUUCUGUUUUUUUACUGCCAGGGUAGUCGUAGAAGAUUCAGAAGUGUUGGGAAUGGAGUUGUUCCCACCCAAGAGGUCUCCCUGCCCAGUGGA
rnacentral:sRNA from 1 species